rnacentral:lncRNA from 1 species
AUGGAGGAUACUGAAGAGAAGAUAAAGCAGGUCUCUGUUGUGGCAGAAACCCUUAAGAAAAAGUGAGGGAAUUUUGCAGAGCGGAAGAUCGAGUACCUGAGGAAGAAGUUUACCCAUAAAUGCUUUGAAAGCAAAGAAGAAAACUCAUCUAUGAAGAAACUAAACACUACCUUGAGGAAUAUGAGCAGAUGUACAAAACUGAGAUUUGAAUGGGUAGGCUGGCAAGAAAAGCUGGCAACUUUUACAUACCUGCAGAACCCAAAUUGCUAUUUGUCAUCAGGACCAGAAGUAUCAAUAGUGUGAGCCCAAAGGUCCAAAAGAUGUUGCAGCUUCUUUCCCUUUGUCAUAUCAUCAACGCAACCUUUGUUAAGCUCAACAAUGCUUCAAAUAACAUGCUGAGGAUUGUAGAACCGUAUAUUGCAUUGGGGUACCUGAACCUGAAGUUAGUAAAAGAACUAAUCAACAAAUGUGGUGAUGUCAAAAUCAGUAAGAGGCAAGUUGCCUUGACAGAUAACACUUAGGUUGCUUGAAGUCUUGGUAAAUAUUGGCAUCAUCUGCAUGGGAUAUCUGAUUCGUGAGACCUAUACUUUUGGAAAAUGUGUCAAACAAGCAAAUAACUUCAUGUGGCCCUUCAAAUCAUCUUCUCCAUGAAGUGGAAUGAAAAAAAGAACACCCAUUUUGUUGAAGGGGAGAUUCUGGCCGCAGGGAAGACCAGAUCAACAGGUUUAUUAGAGGGACAAAUUAA